rnacentral:rRNA from 1 species
GACGAACGCUGGCGGCGUGCUUAACACAUGCAAGUCGAACGGAAAGGCCCUGCUUUUGUGGGGUGCUCGAGUGGCGAACGGGUGAGUAACACGUGAGUAACCUGCCCUUGACUUUGGGAUAACUUCAGGAAACUGGGGCUAAUACCGGAUAGGAGCUCCUGCUGCAUGGUGGGGGUUGGAAAGUUUCGGCGGUUGGGGAUGGACUCGCGGCUUAUCAGCUUGUUGGUGGGGUAGUGGCUUACCAAGGCUUUGACGGGUAGCCGGCCUGAGAAGGUGACCGGCCACAUUGGGACUGAGAUACGGCCCAGACUCCUACGGGAGGCAGCAGUGGGGAAUAGUGCACAAUGGGCGGAAGCCUGAUGCAGCAACGCCGCGUGCGGGAUGACGGCCUUCGGGUUGUAAACCGCUUUCGCCUGUGACGAAGCGUGAGUGACGGUAAUGGGUAAAGAAGCACCGGCUAACUACGUG